AUUCUGAUUGACAUGAUGAAAUGCAAUAUGAAAUGCUAAAUGAAUGCAUGAAUGAGGAGGGCAAAUUUUGGGGUGUUACAGCUGCCCCUAUUCAAUCAUUAGCUAACCCGAGUAGGAUGAAAGCGAACAGCUUAUCAGACAAACGGGGUGAGCUGUGAUUGAAUACCAAAGACAGACCGAAAAUUUGCGCUCCGAGAACACCACAAAAACGCGGAAAUACACCGC
rnacentral:lncRNA from 1 species